rnacentral:tRNA from 1 species
GUUUAAAUAGUUUAAUUAAAACGUUGGUUUGUGGAACCAGAAAUAUAAGGUUUAUUUUAAAUU